rnacentral:rRNA from 1 species
UACGUAGGGUGCGAGCGUUAAUCAGAAUUACUGGGCGUAAAGCGUGCGCAGGCGGCUUCGCAAGUCAGGCGUGAAAUCCCCGGGCUUAACCUGGGAAUGGCGUCUGAAACUACGGAGCUGGAGUGUGGCAGAGGGAGGUAGAAUUCCACGUGUAGCGGUGAAAUGCGUAGAUAUGUGGAGGAAUACCGAUGGCGAAGGCAGCCUCCUGGGCCAACACUGACGCUCAUGCACGAAAGCGUGGGGAGCAAACAGG